UAUUUACAAGCUCUCCAAGAGUCGGGGUGUUUGAAAGGGAAGGCCAAGCCAUUAUCAAUGGCAGCUAUCGCUAUUCUCUUCUGUUUUGCCUUCUGUCUAUUAAUUGACAUUUUUUCGCCGUCGAUUGCAGGGCCGUCAUUCUUCGGUGAGUCGAUGGGAAUGAUUGAUUUCGCGUCCGCUGAUUGGAUUUCGCUUAAUUUGAUGAGCCAGUUGUCGUUACCGCGAUCUAAAACAAGAUUCAAAAAUGAGAAAUGCUUAAUAAAAAAAAACCUGUGUUCCUUAUGAUGUAAUCAAGAAUGACGAGUCUUUCAAAUUCGGAUUGAAAAUCUGAGGAAACAGGUGCUAGCAAACCGGGCUCAGAUUCGAACCUUCUCAACCAAUAAUCAGCGUUACGAUAACCGGAUACGAAAAUUUGAAACGAGCCCACCUUUUUUGUUAAAAAAAGGAAGGCCCCUUCCCUCUUCGAAGCAAGAUCCCAGGUACACCCCUGCGGCUAGUGUUGUAAAGCGGCAAAUUUUGUUAAACGGUUCGAUUUGAACUGAUUUUUAAAAAUGGACUAACACAAUAUUUUAUCCAUAAAAAUACUACGCAAGGCUGAUGGACAAACGAAAUCUCGAGGCUUAGGUUUUGAUGCACAAUGACAAACUUGUCGUUGUGACAAUGGAGUUGGAGAGCGGAGACCGACCCUUUACAACUUUCAGUCUAAUGCAAAUCACGCAUUGUGACCGGUGGGACAACAAGGAGAUGUGUCAAACUGUAUUCUAAUACAAGAAAAAAAUUCCAGAAGAA